UCUAGCAGAUCAGCUUUUUGUUUGUGUUAUGUUCCAACUAAAAUGUAAGACGAACAAAAAGUUUGUCUGUUAGGUG
rnacentral:pre_miRNA from 1 species